rnacentral:rRNA from 1 species
CAGCAGCCGCGGUAAUACGUAGGGUGCAAGCGUUAAUCGGAAUUACUGGGCGUAAAGCGCACGCAGGCGGUUUGUUAAGUCAGAUGUGAAAUCCCCGAGCUUAACUUGGGAACUGCAUUUGAAACUGGCAAGCUAGAGUCUUGUAGAGGGGGGUAGAAUUCCAGGUGUAGCGGUGAAAUGCGUAGAGAUCUGGAGGAAUACCGGUGGCGAAGGCGGCCCCCUGGACAAAGACUGACGCUCAGGUGCGAAAGCGUGGGGAGCAAACAGGAUUAGAUACCCGCGUAGUCCCUGUCUCUUAUAC